UACAGAGUGAUCAGAAUUGAGGAUUAUGAAGAAAGUUGAUAAGAUAAGUUAGCUCUAUAACAAGGGUGAUGCAUAUGGGCAGAGGAGAGAGAUUUCCAAUAAAUCUGAUUGUGCUAGGCACGGCAUCACUGGAGGAAAAAGCUAGCCAUAGUAAUUUAUAUAUAAGUAGAAGGAAAAGUUUUGUACAAGUUUUGUCUAUUUAAAGGAGGUCCCACAUCCUCAAGGAAGCAAGUCUGAAGCCCCAGUUAUUACAGGGCCAGAAGCGGAGUGUAAACACGUCGACCCGCAUGGGCAACCACUGUUGUUGGAAACACAUGGUAAUGGAGUUCUGCUCAAUAAUCUGUGUACAACUGCUACAAGAGUGAAAGGAGGAAGUACAAAGGAAAAAAUAAGGAGCAAUCGUAGUGAAGACCCAGCUUCUUUUUCUCAUCUCCCAAGCAAGUCUGGACUGGGAAUACUGUAGACUCCUGCUGACAGAACAAGAGCAGCUGUUCUGGAUAGAGAAUUGCUGGGGACACAACAAAGGAGAAAAUAAAGGCUUAAAAAAGGUGUAUAUUUAAAAAGGACUUGUCUACACAGGACAAUUAUACCAUCUUCAUUAAAUCUCUUCAGAAACUGAUGUUGUUAAGCUAAAUCAAUUUGAGACACUCUUAAACCCACUUGUGCCCCCAUAAGGAACACUCACCAAUUUUGCUACAUCAGUUUCUAAACGUAUUUAGUUAAAUCAGAACAACGUUAUGUGUAGACUAGGCUCAGACUCGCUGACUUUCUGCCCACAUGUUUUCCAACCUGUGGCAGAGAGGGA